GGAGCGGUAGUUCAGUUGGUUAGAAUGCCGGCCUGUCACGCCGGAGGUCGCGGGUUCGAGUCCCGUCCGCUCCGCCA
rnacentral:tRNA from 46 species